CGCCGAGCACUGGUGUCAUCUAAGGACUCCAGAGUCGACAGCCCACCUCCAGGAGAGCAGUUUUUGGGUUAUAACCUUAUGCCACCAACUCAGGACUGGCCAAGCAUAGAAUGCCCGCAUAGUUCCAGGAUGAUAGCCCAAAGCGCCCGAGAAGCGCCCGCAGAGCGCCCGAAGAGCGCCCCAUCGAGCGCCCAACGAGCGCCCCGCGCGCGCUACCGAGCGCCCAACCCCACUGCCCAGGGAGGGGCGACAACCCC
rnacentral:lncRNA from 1 species